GCGAGGCUGUCUCUCCCUCCCCCCCCUUUCCUUCUGUAGCUCGGCCCAGACCGGUUCCAACCUGCUGGGGCCGGUCCCAGCUUCCUCAACUGUCACCAACCUCUGGUCGGGCGGUGGGGCGGGAAACUCGGUCCCAGCCUCCGAGUUGGGAAGGCAGGAGCUCGGGUCCCGAGUACACACUUCUCAGGGUGCCUGAGCCAUGUGGGUAUUUAGAAGAUCCCAACCCAUGGAGAUUUCAGAACCUGAGAGGUUGAACAACACUCAAGUUCAGUAAGCCAGGAGAAUCUGUUGGGAGUACAGAGAACUAAAAGCAGGCAGGAGGAGCUCUGGCUUGAGACCCAGAAGGCCUUUUGGGAGAUGAGCCUGGGAACAUCGGUUAUAGGAAAUGUAUUGGUUUCUUUGAGGGACUCUCCAAUAUUGGCUGGCAUCUAAGCUUGACUUCAGUGUAACUCAGCUAUGUUAGACACUAAAGAAGGCUUCCCCUCAGUCCAUAUGCAUCUGCUCUGACUGGUGGUUUCUGUCAUCCUACAAAGACUGACUUAUUGGUGAGGGCAGCUGGACACCUGAGAGCAACUUAGAGCAAUGCAUCUUGGGCACACUCUGUAAGGAGCGUCUCUGGAGAUAGCACCCCAUGUAAGUGCAGAAAACAAGACAACUCAUGGACCUACUACUUCCCGCUUCCAACACCCUGAUGCCUAAGUGUGUAGAAUUUGACAACAGUAUCAAGAGCUGAGGAGAAAGAGAAGAUGGGAAGGAGACUAGCAAGUAAAAAAUGUCGUAGCAUUCUCUAUGUGGUGACCUUUUCCUGUUGGUGGCUCGGUUUAUUUAGGAGAUAAAGAAGAUAAGGAGGCCUGUGACAGUUUCAUCAUGUCACACUUGAGUUUAUCCAAAUGUUUCCUCCCUGUCUCUGCUUUUUAUGUCACAGUUUGCUUCCCAUGUUCGGAUUGACUCAUUUGUUUCCUGUUAAUGUUUGAAACACUGCAUGGCCACCGUCAGUCCUGAAAGACCGGCUUCUGAUGAGGAGUGGGAAGGUUCAGGUCUUACCCUCCCACGGAAGUUUGGCCUAUUUACAAAACUACUCUCACAGAAGGGAAGUAGAUGUGUUCUAGAAAAAAAAUGUUGAUUAAAUCUUUUUAUAUGGUGUGUUAUUAAAAAUUUAGCUUUUAA